rnacentral:rRNA from 1 species
UACGGGGGGGGCAAGCGUUGUUCGGAAUUACUGGGCGUAAAGGGCUCGUAGGCGGCCAACUAAGUCGGAUGUGAAAUCCCCAGGCUCAACCUGGGAACUGCAUCCGAUACUGGAUGGCUUGAAUUCGGGAGAGGGAGGUAGAAUUCCAGGUGUAGCGGUGAAAUGCGUAGAUAUCUGGAGGAAUACCGGUGGCGAAGGCGGCAUCCUGGACCGACAUUGACGCCGAUGAGCGAAAGCUAGGGGAGCAAACGGG